rnacentral:rRNA from 1 species
AAAUCAUUUGGUUAAGCUAUAAAGAGCGCAGGGUGGAUGCCUUGGCACUAAGAGCCGAUGAAAGACGUGAUAAGCUGCGAAAAGCUUCGGGGAGGAGCAAAUAUCCUUUGAUCCGGAGAUAUCUGAAUGGGGAAACCCGGCUGAGCAAACCUCAGUCACUGCAUGGUGAAUCCAUAGCCAUGCAGGGGGAACCCGGUGAACUGAAACAUCUAAGUAGCCGGAGGAAGAGAAAGAAACAUCGAUUCCCAAAGUAGCGGCGAGCGAAAUGGGAAGAGCCCAAACCAGCGUGCGUGCAUGCUGGGGUUAAGGACUGCAAACGUGAACCGAUUUGUUAGUGGAACUGUCUGGGAAGUCAGGCCAUAGAGGGUGAAAGCCCCGUACACGAAAACAAUAGGAAGCAGCAGGAUCCAGAGUACCACGAGACACGAGAAACCUUGUGGGAAGUCGGAGGGACCACCCUCCAAGGCUAAAUACUCCUUAGUGACCGAUAGCGCAUAGUACUGUGAAGGAAAGGUGAAAAGGACCCCGGGAGGGGAGUGAAAAAGAACCUGAAACCCUGUGUUUACAAGCUGUGGAAGCACGUUAAGGUGCGACCGCGUACUUUUUGUAGAACGGUCCGGCGAGUUGCCGGUACUGGCAAGGUUAAGAGCUGAAGGCUCGGAGCCGAAGGGAAACCAAGUCUCAAAUGGGCGUCAAGUCAGUACAGGCAGACCCGAAACCGGGUGACCUAUCCAUGUCCAGGUUGAAGCGGAAGUAAAAUUCCGUGGAGGACCGGAUCCACAUCCGUUGAAAAGGGUGGGAAUGAGGUGUGGAUAGGGGAGAAAUUCCAAUCGAACCCGGAGAUAGCUGGUUCUCCUCGAAAUAGCUUUAGGGCUAGCCUCAUAUUAGUUUAGCGGAGGUAGAGCACUGAAUUCCUAAGGGGGCGUCAAAGCUUACCAAGGGAUAUCAAACUCCGAAUGCCGCAUAAAUGAUGUAUGGGAGUCAGACUGCACGAGAUAAGUUGGGUAGUCAAAAGGGAAAGAGCCCAGACCUACAGCUAAGGUCCCAAAGUGUGUGUUAAGUGGAAAAGGAUGUGGGAUUUCAAAGACAACUAGGAUGUUGGCUCAGAAGCAGCCACACAUUCAAAGAGUGCGUAAUAGCUCACUAGUCGAGAGGUCCUGCGCCGAAAAUGUCCGGGGCUGAAACACAACACCGAAGCUUAGGAAUGUAUGUAAGUACAUUGGUAGAGGAGCAUUCUCAGGACNNNNNNNNNNACCGAAGCUUAGGAAUGUAUGUAAGUACAUUGGUAGAGGAGCAUUCUCAGGACGGAGAAGCGGUACCGAUAAGGAGCCGUGGAGUGCUGAGAAGAGAGAAUGCCGGAAUGAGUAGCGAGAUGGAGGUGGGAAUCCUCCAGGCCGAAUAUCCAAGGUUUCCAGAGUAAAGCUGAUCUGCUCUGGGUAAGUCGGGGCCUAAGGCGAGGCUGAGAGGCGUAGUCGAUGGACAACAGGUUGAAAUUCCUGUACCAUGUAUCAUCAGAACUGUGGGGACACAGAAGGACAACACAUCCCGGGAAUGGGAAUACCGGGGCAAGCGAGGUAGGAGUACGGUUGGCAAAUCCGCCGUGCAAUCCGAAGACGUGACGCGCAGCGAACUAAAGUAGCGAAGUGUGUGAUUCCGGCUGUCAAGAAAAGCCGCUAUUGUGUGAUACAUGCCCGUACCGUAAACCGACACAGGUAGAUGAGGAGAGAAUCCUAAGGCCGGCGGGAGAAGCAUUGUUAAGGAACUCGGCAAAAUGACCCCGUAACUUCGGGAGAAGGGGUGCCACAGAGAUGUGGCCGCAGAGAAUAGGCUCAAGCAACUGUUUAGCAAAAACACAGGUCUAUGCAAAACCGUAAGGUGAGGUAUAUGGGCUGACGCCUGCCCGGUGCUGGAAGGUUAAGAGGAGAGGUUAGAGCAAUCGAAGCUUUGAAUUUAAGCCCCAGUAAACGGCGGCCGUAACUAUAACGGUCCUAAGGUAGCGAAAUUCCUUGUCGGGUAAGUUCCGACCCGCACGAAAGGCGUAAUGAUUUGAGCGCUGUCUCAACAAUGCACCCGGUGAAAUUGAAAUACCAGUGAAGAUGCUGGUUACCUGCGCCAGGACGGAAAGACCCCAUGGAGCUUUACUCCAGUUUGAUACUGGGAUUCGGUAUUGCAUGUACAGGAUAGGUGGGAGGCUAAGAAACAUGGACGCCAGUCUGUGUGGAGCCAAUGUUGGGAUACCACCCUUGCGAUAUUGGGUUUCUAACCUGCGCCCGUGACCCGGGCGGGGGACAAUGUCAGGCGGGGAGUUUGACUGGGGCGGUCGCCUCCGAAAGGGUAUCGGAGGCGCUCAAAGGUUCCCUCAGGAUGGUUGGAAACCAUCCAAAGAGUGCAAAGGCAUAAGGGAGCUUGACUGCGACACCGACGGGUGGAGCAGGUACGAAAGUAGGACUUAGUGAUCCGGUGGUAUGAAAGUGGGAUUGCCAUCGCUCAACGGAUAAAAGCUACCCUGGGGAUAACAGGCUUAUCACUCCCAAGAGUUCACAUCGACGGAGUGGUUUGGCACCUCGAUGUCGGCUCAUCGCAUCCUGGGGCUGUAGCAGGUCCCAAGGGUUGGGCUGUUCGCCCAUUAAAGCGGUACGCGAGCUGGGUUCAGAACGUCGUGAGACAGUUCGGUCCCUAUCCGGCGCGGGCGUAGGAUAUCUGAGAGGAGCUGUCCUUAGUACGAGAGGACCGGGAUGGACAGACCGCUGGUGUACCUGUUGGCUUACCAAGGCCAUGGCAGGGUAGCCAAGUCUGGACGGGAUAAACGCUGAAGGCAUCUAAGCGUGAAGCCCCCCUCAAGAUGAGAUAUCCCAUCGCGAAAGCGAGUAAGACCCCUUGAAGACGACGAGGUAGAUAGGUUAGAGGUGGAAGUGCAGUAAUGUAUGGAGCUGACUAAUACUAAUCGGUCGAGGGCUUAUCCAAA